GACAGAGGGUGCAAACGUUGUUCGGAAUUACUGGGCGUAAAGCGCGUGUAGGCUGCGAUGUAAGUCAGGUGUGAAAGCCCUCAGCUUAACUGAGGAAGUGCACUUGAUACUGUGUCGCUUGAGUGUCGGAGGGGGUGGCGGAAUUCCCGGUGUAGAGGUGAAAUUCGUAGAUAUCGGGAGGAACACCUGUGGCGAAGGCGGCCACCUGGACGACAACUGACGCUGAGACGCGAAAGCGUGGGUAGCAAACAGG
rnacentral:rRNA from 1 species